rnacentral:rRNA from 1 species
UACGUAGGGUGCGAGCGUUGUCCGGAAUUACUGGGCGUAAAGGGCUCGUAGGUGGUUUGUCGCGUCGUCUGUGAAAUUCCGGGGCUUAACUCCGGGCGUGCAGGCGAUACGGGCAUAACUUGAGUACUGUAGGGGUAACUGGAAUUCCUGGUGUAGCGGUGAAAUGCGCAGAUAUCAGGAGGAACACCGAAUGGCGAAAGGGCAUGGUUACUGGGCGAG